UCCCAUCUUCCCACGCAGUACUAUAUAUAUAGUAGGGUGGGGGAAGAUGAGACAC
rnacentral:miRNA from 1 species